rnacentral:rRNA from 1 species
GUGGGGAAUAUUGGGCAAUGGGGGCAACCCUGACCCAGCGACGCCGCGUGAGGGAUGAAGGUUUUCGGAUCGUAAACCUCUGUCAGAAGGGAAGAAACUACGUUGUGCUAAUCAGCAGCGUACUGACGGUACCUUCAAAGGAAGCACCGGCUAACUCCGUGCCAGCAGCCGCGGUAAUACGGAGGGUGCAAGCGUUAAUCGGAAUUACUGGGCGUAAAGCGCACGUAGGCUGUAGUGUAAGUCAGGGGUGAAAUCCCACGGCUCAACCGUGGAACUGCCUUUGAUACUGCACAACUUGAAUCCGGGAGAGGGUGGCGGAAUUCCAGGUGUAGGAGUGAAAUCCGUAGAUAUCUGGAGGAACAUCAGUGGCGAAGGCGGCCACCUGGACCGGUAUUGACGCUGAGAUGCGAAAGCGUGGGGAGCAAACAGGAUUAGAUACCCCAGUAGUCC